rnacentral:rRNA from 14 species
GAGUAAAAUAAAAUAAAAUAAUAAUAAAUAAAAACAAGAUAAAUUAAAAUAAAACAAGAGGUGUCCAGUCAUGAACCGAGCAUGUACAU